rnacentral:ncRNA from 1 species
CAUAAAACGAUGAAUGGGACAGAAAGCAUUAAAAAACCUUUUUAGCGAGUUAGAAGAUGGUGAAAGUCUAACAGGCCCUUUUUAGUGUCAGAUCCCCCAGGAGUGUUGAUUUGAAUGUAUUAGUAAAAUCAGCCGGUUGAUUUCCGUUAACAAUUACUUGAGAGAAAACGUUUUGUUUUCUGAACUUGGGUGGUACCACGAGAUUUCGUCCCUUUG